ACUGCUGAUCUGAUCGUCUCAAGUCUGGUGACCUGCUGCAGAAGCUCUCUCCCUCUAUCAUUAACAAGCCAUUCAGUCUGUCCUAUCACUCUACCCACUCUAUCUAUUUUGACAAGACGUUCUAUCUUGCUUCACUCUAUCCCACAAGCUCUAUCUAAGUUAUCAAAAAUCACGUUUUUAACUGGAAUCAAAUUUUGACUGGAAUCAAGUUUUGACUGGAAUAAUCAAGUUUUGACAUGGCCCCAAUUUUUGGGAAAUUGAAGUUACCAGUACUUCAUCUAUCUGUUACAGAAUUCUGAGAGAUCUCUGCUCUCACUGCUCCUUCUUUCCUUUCGUUAAACUCUCUCACAUCCAGUCUUUUUCCUGGAAAUUACAAGUAGAAAGUUGAAAUUACAAUAGUAGAAUUACAGUACAGUAGAAACUAUUUACACAGCUGUAGACUUGUAAUUUUAAUUUUUACUUGGAAUACUUUGGAAUAAACACUGAUAGUUUGGCUUAGAGGUGCAAUUACUUUGAUACAUUAUAUAAAAUUUACACCUUCUUUAAGGUUUUUUGUAAUAAGAUAAACUUGUUAUUUUAUACGACACAUUCAGACUGUUGUAUUCACAAAAAUAUUAAAUUGCAUAACUUCAGAUACAUUUUGCUAGUCCGUUUCAUUGUCAGUAACAUUUGACUAUAGUAGGGUUAUACUAUUCUUAUUUAGGGACAAACCCAUUUCUGUUACUCAGUGUAAGUGUUCAGACACAAUUGUCAUCGAGAAGCUGCCCUGAGGACCCAGACUUCCUGUUUCCUGACUGCUGUAGAACAUCCAGCUGAAGAAUCCUCAUUGCCUGUCAUCUGAUCACCACAUCACCACAGCUGUUUAUAUUUGCUUUACAUUUUAGAUAUCUGAAAGAUUUACACAAAGUCUGCUUAAAAACUAAGAGUUUUAUUAUAGCCUGUUGAUUAUUGUGAUUUAUUCUAUACAUCCCUUUACAGAAGCUAAGAUCUAGUCAUUAACAAGUGUGGUUAAAGUAUCAGAAGUAAAAAUAUUGUGUUUUGGAAAAAGCUACAAUAAAACUGAGCAAAGUGUUUUCAAAGAACUGAAUAUCUUUUAUAUUGAGUUUGGAUUAAAGUCAACCUUUUACAUCUAUUUACAUAUUUAUAAAAACAUUGG
rnacentral:lncRNA from 1 species